rnacentral:rRNA from 1 species
AGCAUUUCAGUUUGCUUGCAAACUGGAGAUGGCGACCGGCGCACGGGUGAGUAACACGUAUCCAACCUGCCUCAUACUCGGGGAUAGCCUUUCGAAAGAAAGAUUAAUACCUGAUAGUAUGGUGAGAUUGCAUGAUAACACCAUUAAAGAUUUAUUGGUAAACGAUGGGGAUGCGUUCCAUUAGGUAGUAGGCGGGGUAACGGCCCACCUAGCCUACGAUAUCUAGGGGUUCUGAGAGGAAGGUCCCCACAUUGGUACUGAGACACGGUCCAAACUCC